UACCAGCACCCCGAGUGGUCGGGACGAUUAUUGGGCCUAAAGCAUCCGUAGCCGGUUCUGCAAGUCCUCCGUUAAAUCCAGCUGCUCAACAGAUGGGCCGCGGAGGAUACUACAGAGCUAGGAGGCAGGAGAGGCAAGCGGUACUCAGUGGGUAGGGGUAAAAUCCGUUGAUCCAUUGAAGACCACCAGUGGCGAAGGCGGCUUGCCAGAAUGCGCUCGACGGUGAGGGGUGAAAGCUGGGGGAGCAAACCGG
rnacentral:rRNA from 1 species